GUCUGAGUAAGGCUGUAAAGCUGUAGUUCUGUGCCUGGCACCAGCACCUGAAAUCCACAGACAGGCAGAGAAGAUGGAUGUGAAGCAGAGGAAGCAAAGACAAGCUGAAUGAAGGAGAAACUGGUUCCUUCCAUCAUGGCGCUAAGUAGGCAUCUGGUCCAGGAUUCAGAGAAACGGAUCCAGCAGGAGGAUCUGGCAGGAGCCCCUCUGCUGCCUCACACCAACAAGGAUAUUUAUAUUAAGUACCUGUGAAAUGAAGUUCUCACAACCUAAGAUACCUGAAAACUCCAAUUACUGCCAGGGGUAUACAGAAAUCAAACUCAGGCAUCUGGAGGAGACUCUGAGGUCACCUGUCCCUCAUACCCCUGCUGGCCCCAGCCACCCACAAUCCUGCCAGGACCAUCCAGGAGUGCUAUACAGCAAUCAUUUACUUGUCUCAAUAAACUAAAUGAUUUCCAGAAGCAACAACCUUCUGCUAGAAUGAAAGGCUGUAA